CGGAUGAUUUCCUAAGUGACUGAGCGGCGGACGGGUGAGUAGCGCGUGGGUAACCUGCCUCAUACAGGGGGAUAACAGUUAGAAAUGACUGCUAAUACCGCAUAAGACCACAGCACCGCAUGGUGCAGGGGUAAAAACUCCGGUGGUAUGAGAUGGACCCGCGUCUGAUUAGUUAGUUGGUGGGGUAACGGCCUACCAAGGCGACGAUCAGUAGCCGACCUGAGAGGGUGACCGGCCACAUUGGGACUGAGACACGGCCCAAACUCCUACGGGAGGCAGCAGUGGGGAAUAUUGCACAAUGGGGGAAACCCUGAUGCAGCGACGCCGCGUGAGCGAAGAAGUAUUUCGGUAUGUAAAGCUCUAUCAGCAGGGAAGAAAAUGACGGUACCUGACUAAGAAGCUCCGGCUAAAUACGUGCCAGCAGCCGCGGUAAUACGUAUGGAGCAAGCGUUAUCCGGAUUUACUGGGUGUAAAGGGUGCGUAGGUGGCAGUGCAAGUCAGAUGUGAAAGGCCGGGGCUCAACCCCGGAGCUGCAUUUGAAACUGCUCGGCUAGAGUACAGGAGAGGCAGGCGGAAUUCCUAGUGUAGCGGUGAAAUGCGUAGAUAUUAGGAGGAACACCAGUGGCGAAGGCGGCCUGCUGGAC
rnacentral:rRNA from 1 species